GAUUUUGAAUACAAGGAAAAUCAAUUGAAGUGGCAAUGGAAGGAACCGCCAUCAAUAAGGACACACCAUGGAAACCGCCAUUAGCAAGGACACAUAGCAGGAACCAGUUCAAGUGAAACUUUUUUUUGCUAUUUUUGAGGGCUAUAAGUGGGCUAUGAUUUGAAUGGGGAGAGGAUGCUAGAGUUGAGAAGUGGAGCUAGAAGGUCCAAGAGGCUUGGGCAGAGCCUUCGCAGGACAGAACUAGCAGGAGAGUUGGAGGUGGAAGAGGAACUGGUGCUAAUGCAAGCAAGCAAGCUCCUUCUAUCAUUUUCUUUCUCUGCUACCUUUCUUUUGAAAUUCAUAAAUUCCCUUACCUCCAAUCUGUCAUUCUCUCUUCUUCAAUUUCCUCCAUUUCCUCUACAUACAAAAUUUGGGAUAGCUUCAUGAAUAUAAUCCUUAGUCAGUACUAUUUUCCCUUUGAAUAUACAUUGUGGACUUUGAACGACUAUUAAUUGUGUCUUAUUAUGACUAUUUUUUGUGAUGCCUUUAUAAGUGGAUCAAUUAUAGUUUGAUAUUUUUAAUUACUUUUAUUUUGAUUCCUUGAAUUAUUGUCAUUCCUUGAUGGUGAGGUACAUAGCUUGAUUGUAUUUGAAAACUCCUCAUUAUGCGGUUCUUUGAUUCCUUGAUUUCUCUGUUAUUGUUUGUCCAAGUUCACAAACCUAGCGACGACAGAGAUCGAUGAAGCAGAGCACACGACUGCAGCGAAGGUAAGCACUUCAGAUCCAUUUUAGUUUUUGGAUUCCAGAUUUAUUUUCAAUUCAUUUUCGGAUUUCAGAUCUAUUAUAUUUUUGUUCAAUCUAUGGUGAUGUUGCUUCUUACUCUACUGCCAUUUAUUUGAUGUAAGGCUUAUUAAAAAGGAAUAAAAUGUGCUUCUAUUUGAUUGAGAGUGGUAUAAUCUCUCUUUUGUAAAGAAUUUGCCAUGAUUUAGAGUGGUAUGACCACUCUAUUGAAAAGGGACGAAAUAUGCUUCUAUUUGAUUGGUUCUUUUUCCUAUACAUUUUUUAAGGUUUAUUUUUUGAAUAUCAAAAUUUUAAUUGCAGGAGUUUUUUUAACUUAAAAUGUAUAAUACCUAAUUGUGUUAAACGUGUGGAACCAUGUAAAAACUUCAACUUGGAAUAGGAUAUUGAUAUUUUGUCACCUACAAGAGGAGUGGUAUAUAAAGAGCAAAUCAUAAACAUCAAGAUCUAGCCAUUCAUGCAUGCACAAAUGAGUUGAUAGUAUGCAUUUUACAGAGGUAAGCUUUCCCUUUGAUUAGUUAAUAAUGCUGGUAGUAAAACUGAACUUCAACUUAUAUUGGUGCUACUUUUUGUUUUGCAAAUAUAAGUGGAUCACUUAUAGUGUGAUACUUUUUGUUUUGAGAAUUUGUUUUAAGUGACUCAAAGCAAUGGAUGAUUUAUGCUCUGUGUUCAUUACGUUCAAGAGAUUGGCUUAUCCUCUAUCUGUUCCAAUUCAUAAGCACCUGUAAAGGCCAUUAGUAAAUGAUUUUCAAGACUUAACUUCAUAUUAUUUGAUACUUUUACUUUUGAAGCAUUGUUUUAAGCAUGUGCAUUAUUCCUCAAGUAUUUAUAUCUUAAAGACCUGUGAGAAAUAUAUGUAGAUGAAGUAAGUGCAUUAUAGGAGGAUUUAAAUCGAAUUCUACACACUCUACAUUUUUCAAGUUCUAUAAACAAGUAAGUGUCUUCACUCUUUGACUAUGAUUUAAUUUUUUGUUACUUUGUUCGAACUUUUUAGUAAGAAUGUUUAUGUGUUUGCUCUUUUGGACAAACCACAUUGACCUUCUAACUAAUUUGGGUGUGUUUCAUUUUUUAUUGACUCUGAAUUUGUUUGCUGGAUUCUUCUCCCAAUCAUUUUUUUAACACAUUCAUUUUUUGAUUAAGUAUGUUUUGUUUCAAGUUAGCAUAUUUAAGUUAGAGACUACAUGUGGUACAUGUAAGGGAAAUUGGAACUCGAAAAAUUUCAUUGGUAUAGUGUAAACAUUCACGUUGAAAAGGAACAAAGAGUAGUAGGCAAUAGGCAGUACCUGUGGUCUCAUGGUUUGGAUUCUAUUAUACUUUAAUGCAUAAGAACAACUAACUUUUACCGCAAAUUGAAUCCGAUAUAAAUGUCUGACUCAUGGAUGCUGAAGGGAAGGAAUUCCAAAUCAUACCAAUCUAUGGAAACAAUUUUGUAGAAGGAAUUAUAGGUCUUAAAAGUGAAAGUUGUUAAAGAUUUGGUUUUACAUCUAAAGGAGAUUGUGAGCCGAAAUAUCGAUAGGGUUGCAAAAUGGGUUUUUAACUUCCAAAGGAUUUAUCCAUGAUAAUACAAUGUUUAAAAAGGGUUUUAUAUAGUUUAAGUUUACCGUAAUGGUAUUAACUUUCUUUAGUUCAUGAGUUUUUCUCUUAAUGGAAUUUGAAAAAAUUUCUUGAAUGAAAAUAAAAAUGACAUUAAAAUA